rnacentral:rRNA from 1 species
GACGAACGCUGGCGGCGUGCCUAAUACAUGCAAGUUGAGCGCUGAAGGUUGGUACUUGUACCAACUGGAUGAGCAGCGAACGGGUGAGUAACGCGUGGGGAAUCUGCCUUUGAGCGGGGGACAACAUUUGGAAACGAAUGCUAAUACCGCAUAAAACCUUUAAACACAAGUUUUAAGUUUGGAAGAUGCAAUUGCAUCACUCAAAGAUGAUCCCGCGUUGUAUUAGCUAGUUGGUGAGGUAAAGGCUCACCAAGGCGAUGAUACAUAGCCGACCUGAGAGGGUGAUCGGCCACAUUGGGACUGAGACACGGCCCAAACUCCUACGGGAGGCAGCAGUAGGGAAUCUUCGGCAAUGGACGAAAGUCUGACCGAGCAACGCCGCGUGAGUGAAGAAGGUUUUCGGAUCGUAAAACUCUGUUGGUAGAGAAGAACGUUGGUGAGAGUGGAAAGCUCAUCAAGUGACGGUAACUACCCAGAAAGGGACGGCUAACUACGUG